rnacentral:rRNA from 1 species
GACGAACGCUGGCGGCGUGCCUAAUACAUGCAAGUAGAACGCCGACGGAGGAGCUUGCUUCUCUGGCUGAGUUGCGGUCGGGUGAGUAUCGCGUAGGUAACCUGCCUUGUAGUGGGGGAUGACUUUUGGAAAGGAUAGUUACUACCGCAUAAUAGUCGAUGUUGCAUGACAUUUGCUUAAAAGGUGCACUUGCAUCACUACAAGAUGGCCCUGCGUUGUGUUCGCGAGUUGGUGGGGUAAAAGCUCACCAAGGCGACGACACAUAGCCGACCUGAGAAGGUGGUCGGCCACAAUGGGACUUAGACACGGCCCAGACUCCUACGGGGAGCAGCAGUAGGGAAUCUUCGGCAAUGGACGGCAGGCUGACCGAAGAACUCCGCGGUAGGUAAGAAAGGUUUCGGAGCGGAAAGCUCUUUUGUAAGGGAAGAACAAGCGUGAGAGUGGAAAGUUCACGCUGUGACGGUACCUAACCAAAAAGCGACGGCUAACUACGUG